rnacentral:rRNA from 1 species
UACGUAGGUGGCAAGCGUUGUCCGGAAUUAUUGGGCGUAAAGCGCGCGCAGGCGGUUCUUUAAGUCUGAUGUGAAAGCCCACGGCUCAACCGUGGAGGGUCAUUGGAAACUGGGGGACUUGAGUGCAGAAGAGGAGAGUGGAAUUCCACGUGUGGCGGUGAAAUGCGUAGAGAUGUGGAGGAACACCAGUGGCGAAGGCGACUCUCUGGUCUGUAACUGACGCUGAGGCGCGAAAGCGUGGGGAGCAAACAGG